rnacentral:snoRNA from 1 species
UUUAAUUGUUAAAUUUAGGCAGAAUGCUUCCUGUCCUAGUCCCAGAGCCCGUUAAAGGUAAACCCACUGGGGCUUGCUGGAGGAGAAGAGGAAAGUUUGUUCCAGAAAGAGCUGUAUGAGGGAU